rnacentral:rRNA from 1 species
GGCCUAACACAUGCAAGUCGAGCGGAUGACGGGAGCUUGCUCCUUGAUUCAGCGGCGGACGGGUGAGUAAUACCUAGGAAUCUGCCUGGUAGUGGGGGACAACGUUUCGAAAGGAACGCUAAUACCGCAUACGUCCUACGGGAGAAAGCAGGGGACCUUCGGGCCUUGCGCUAUCAGAUGAGCCUAGGUCGGAUUAGCUAGUUGGUGAGGUAAUGGCUCACCAAGGCGACGAUCCGUAACUGGUCUGAGAGGAUGAUCAGUCACACUGGAACUGAGACACGGUCCAGACUCCUACGGGAGGCAGCAGUGGGGAAUAUUGGACAAUGGGCGAAAGCCUGAUCCAGCCAUGCCGCGUGUGUGAAGAAGGUCUUCGGAUUGUAAAGCACUUUAAGUUGGGAGGAAGGGCAUUAACCUAAUACGUUAGUGUUUUGACGUUACCGACAGAAUAAG